rnacentral:rRNA from 1 species
UACGUAGGGUGCAAGCGUUGUCCGGAAUUAUUGGGCGUAAAGAGCUCGUAGGCGGCUUGUUACGUCGUUCGUGAAAACUUGGGGCUCAACUCCAAGCUUGCGGUCGAUACGGGCAGGCUAGAGUUCGGUAGGGGAGACUGGAAUUCCUGGUGUAGCGGUGAAAUGCGCAGAUAUCAGGAGGAACACCGGUGGCGAAGGCGGGUCUCUGGGCCGAUACUGACGCUGAGGAGCGAAAGCGUGGGGAGCGAACAGG